rnacentral:rRNA from 1 species
AGAGCGCACGGAGGAUGCCUUGGCACUAGGAGCCGAAGAAGGACGUGACAAACGACGAAACGCUACGGGGAGCUGUAAGUAAGCAAAGAUCCGUAGAUAUCCGAAUGGGGGAACCCACCGCUUUUAAAAGGGCGGUACGCGAAAGCGAGGUAACGCAGGGAACUGAAACAUCUAAGUACCUGUAGGAAGAGAAAGAAAAAUCGAUUUCCUAAGUAGCGGCGAGCGAAAGGGAAAGAGCCCAAACCAAUGUGCUUGCAUAUUGGGGUUGUAGGACUCUCAGAAAAGCGUAUGACAAAGUAUAGUAGAACGAGCUGGAAAGUUAGACCGUAGAAGGUAAAAGUCCUGUAUACGAAAUGCUGAGUUGGCGUGAGAGAGCACCUGAGUACGGCGGAACACGAGGAAUUCCGUCGGAAUCUACCAGGACCAUCUGGUAAGGCUAAAUACUACCUAGUGACCGAUAGUGAACCAGUACCGUGAGGGAAAGGUGAAAAGAACCCCGGGAGGGGAGUGAAAGAGAACCUGAAACCGUGUGCUUACAAGUAGUCAGAGCCCUUUAGGGGGUGAUGGCGUGCCUUUUGUAGAAUGAACCGGCGAGUUACUUUAUCAUGCGAGGUUAAGUGGAAGACAUGGAGCCGAAGCGAAAGCGAGUCUUAAUAGGGCGAGAUAGUAUGAUGGAGUAGACCCGAAACCAAGUGAUCUACCCAUGGCCAGGUUGAAGUUUAGGUAACACUGAAUGGAGGACCGAACCAGGACACGUUGAAAAGUGUUUGGAUGAGCUGUGGGUAGCGGAGAAAUUCCAAUCGAACUUGGAAAUAGCUGGUUCUCUCCGAAAUAGCUUUAGGGCUAGCCUCGUUGUGAGUUUACUGGAGGUAGAGCACUGUUUGGACUAGGGGCCCAUCCCGGGUUACCGAAUUCAGACAAACUCCGAAUGCCAGAUAAAUAUCAACGGGAGUCAGACUGCGGGUGAUAAGGUUCGUAGUCGAAAGGGAAACAGCCCAGACCGCCAGCUAAGGUCCCAAAUUGUAUGUUAAGUGGAAAAGGAUGUGAUGAUGCACAGACAACCAGGAUGUUGGCUUAGAAGCAGCCACCAUUUAAAGAGUGCGUAAUAGCUCACUGGUCGAGUGACAUCGCGCCGAAAAUGUACCGGGGCUAAACAUACAACCGAAGCUGCGGAUAUAACUAAUGUUAUAUGGUAGGAGAGCGUUCUAACAUCAUAGAAGCCGAACUGGAAGGUGAGGUGGAGAGGUUAGAAGUGAGAAUGCCGGUGUGAGUAGCGAAAGAUAGGUGAGAAUCCUAUCCACCGAAAGACUAAGGUUUCCAGAGGAAGGCUCGUCCGCUCUGGGUAAGUCGGGACCUAAGGUGAAGCCGAUAGGUGAAGCCGAUGGACAACAGGUAGAAAUUCCUGUACCACCGAAUAUCGAUUGAGAGAAGUGGGGACAGAGGAGGCUAAUUGAUCGCCCUGAUGGAAUAGGGCGUCUAAGCACAAAGACUGACAAGUAGGCAAAUCCGCUUGUUUAAAGGUUGAAGUGUGAUGGGGAGCGAAAUAUAGUAGCGAAGUCAAUGAAGCCAAACUCUCAAGAAAAGCCGCUAUCGAGAUAAGAGGUGCCCGUACCGCAAACCGACACAGGUAGUUGGGAAGAGAAUUCUAAGGUGAGCGAGAGAACCAUCGUUAAGGAACUCGGCAAAAUGACCCCGUAACUUCGGGAGAAGGGGUGCCUACGAGAGUAGGCCGCAGUGAAUAGGCCCAAGCGACUGUUUAUCAAAAACACAGGUCUCUGCAAAACCGAAAGGUGAAGUAUAGGGGCUGACGCCUGCCCGGUGCUGGAAGGUUAAGAGGAGUGCUUAGCGCAAGCGAAGGUAUGAAUUGAAGCCCCAGUAAACGGCGGCCGUAACUAUAACGGUCCUAAGGUAGCGAAAUUCCUUGUCGGGUAAGUUCCGACCCGCACGAAAGGCGUAAUGAUUUGGGCACUGUCUCAACGAGAGACUCGGUGAAAUUUUAGUACCUGUGAAGAUGCAGGUUACCCGCGACAGGACGGAAAGACCCCAUGGAGCUUUACUGUAGCUUGAUAUUGAAUUUUGAUGCAGUAUGUACAGGAUAGGUAGGAGCCUAGGAAUCAUGCACGCCAGUGUAUGAGGAGGCGUUGUUGGGAUACUACCCUUGCUGUAUUGAAAUUCUAACCCUCGGCAUAGAAAACCGGGAGACAGUGUCAGGUGGGCAGUUUGACUGGGGCGGUCGCCUC